rnacentral:lncRNA from 1 species
UUGAGCCUAGUUACUCCAUGAUUGGACAAUGUUUGUCAAAUAAAAACGAAAGUGCUACAGUGUCAAGAUCAAAAAAAAUUUGGAUCUAAACAAGGCCUUAGUUCACCCCGAAAUCCAAAAAGUUUUCAAGAUUCCCCGUCACAUCGAAUCUUGCGGCACAUGCAUGAAGUAUUAAAUAUAGACGAAAACAAAAACUAAUUACACAGUUUGUCUGUAAAUCGCGAGACGAAUCUUUUGACCUAGUCAGUUUAUGAUUGGACAAUAUUUGUCAAAUAAAAACGAAAGUGCUACAAUAGUGAAAUCCGAAAUUUUUUCGGAACUAAACAAGGCCUUAGUUGGAGAGGGAAAAAAUUUUAGGUGUCACAUCGGAUAUUUCGUAGGAUGUCGGAA